GUAGCGUCGCAACCGGCCAGUCGCACUCACGCGUGUCGUGAGUCAGGGAAUCCGGUGUGAAUCCGGAACUGACGCGCAGCGGUAAGGGUGACGGCCGGAACAGACGAGCCACUGGACGCCACACGCGGCGGCCGGGAAGGCGUUCCGGCCGGGGGAUCCCGAGUCCGAAGACCUACUGGCCCCGGUUCCCCGCG
rnacentral:ncRNA from 2 species